CAUCAGGUGUCUUUCGCUAUCACUCGCCAUCUUCAGUGAACCCGAUGCUGGAAGUUUCGGAGACUGGCCGGCAAGUGAGCUGCUGAAGCCUAACGUUGGUGUUACAGUUGUGAGGCACCACGCUUGGCAGUUCUGUCCCCAACCUCUGCCUGUGGUGCCAUUGGACCACCCAGUACCCAAACACAUGCCCCGGGGAGACAGACAGGAAGGACUCGCUGUAUCCGUACAGAAGCACCACCGUGAAUGCACCUGUGUUUCUCAAAGAGGAACCGAGCCCUGACUGGCCUUGAACUCUCUAUGCAAGUCAAGAUGAUCUUAAACUUCUGGACUUCUCGCCCUCCCCUCCUGAGUGCUGGGAUCACAGGUCUGUGCCACCACUCCUGAUGCAAGUGUCUCU